CUCCUCCUCCUCGCCCUUGUCGCACUCACACCUAACUUAUUAAACUUACACCUACUUCUCCAACUAUUUGGAUUUCCGCCCGGCCUUAUAGCUGAUCCAGUCGAAUCUUUCACUAUAACCCCCGUAGGCAUUUUGCCACCCACAUUCAACUUCACCAUCCACUUUAAGGAACCAUGUUACGUAAAAUACGUAUACCUCAAUUACUAUGCCCGGUUGUUUACCGGACAGAUCACCUUCGGUAAAAUUUCCGGGAUGAUAGGCCAUAAGGAUCAAUUCCCGACCGGCGAAUGGGUAGAUAUGUACGACGUCACAGUGGUUGGCCAAAACCUCGUGUUCAAAUUUGCCACUGCAACUGUAACGUACGAUAGAUCGCUGUUUGAGGAGGUUAAGACUUGCACAAAUGGUCCUCUUCUUCCUGAUUACUCUAACGAACUCAUCUCUCAGCUUCCAAUCAGUGCAGAGUAAGUUGGUGAUCAUGGAUGUUUUGAGACUUUUGAAGUUGGGAAGUCUGGGGACAAUAUAUAGCUUUUUCAAGUGCAUGUGUUGUAUGUAUAAAGUUGAGGUUAUAUAUGAAUUGAACCUGUUUCGUUUUAAGAUUUUGGUUGUGUUGUAUGAAUGAAGUUUAGGUCAUGAACGUGUUUCGUUUGAAAAA